AAUAUUGGACAAUGGGGGUAACCCUGAUCCGGCCAUGCCGUUUGUGUGAAUUAUGUCUUCGGUAAGUAAAGCACUUUAAUUUGGGAGGAAGGGCUUUAGGUUAAUACCCUGAAGUUUUGUCGUUACCAACAGAAUAAGCACCGGAUAACACUGUGCGAGCAGCCCCGGUAAUACAUAGGGUGCAAUCGUUAAUUGGAAUUACUGGGCGUAAAGCGCGCGUAGGUGGUUCAGUAAGAUGGGUGUGAAAUCCCCGGGCUUAACCUGGGAACUGCUUUCAUAACUGCUGAGCUAGAGUACGGUAGAGGGUAGUGGAAUUUCCUGUGUAGCGGUGAAAUGCGUAGAUAUAGGAAGGAACACCAGUGGCGAAGGCGACUACCUGGACUGAUACUGACACUGAGGUGCGAAAGCGUGGGGAGCAAACAG
rnacentral:rRNA from 1 species